AGCGGACUAAGCAGUUUACUCUAA
rnacentral:snRNA from 1 species